CAGAGAUUGACUUUAAUUUUCUUAUCAUUUAAUGAUGUUUGUGUGACGAGCGAAGGUAAGAAGAUACCAUCAGGACAUCACAAUGUGUGGGUGAAUGAUUGAACACUUGGAUAUGUACCGAGCAUGUGUUUAACUCUCACACCACAUUAACUGCGAGGUUUGUCAUUAUAAAUGUUAAGUAUUAAUCAUUAAAGUUUUUUUUUAAUCAUAUUUACCUAGCAUUAGCCUUUGGGUAUAUUCAAAUUCAGUCAUUAGCGCGCCACGGUACUUUUCAUUGUCAGCGGGGGAGUCGGAGGAGCUGAAUUCAAAACGGACUAACUACGCGCGAGGGACUCACAGGAAACAAUCUGCUGCUGCAUAUGGUGAAGGUCUUUGCUUUAACAUCAUCCAGUCUGCCUUCUCUCCCUCUCCUGGCCAUCCUCCCCAGAAGUGCUUAAAAAACAAAGAUAAACACACACACGCCUCCUACCUGCCCUCCCCUCUAAUUAGGCAUCACGAGAGGGGCCCCAGCACUGCUUCUCCCCUCCCGUUAGCACCACUCCCCGGCACUCCUGCUGCAAUCCCACCCUGGGACAGAUCUGAGGGUCAAGGCCAGGGCAGGACGGAACAGACAGAACGAGGCGCAUGUGCUCGAGCCAAGGCAGAGUCGCUCGGCUGCGAGGUGAUGUGGCUUUUCAGAUUGGCUCUGUGUGAAAAAUGUGCAGGCCAGAUGAUGCACAGAGGGACCCGGCUGCUGCAAAUGAAGUUUGAGCUGGCGUCCAGGAACACACAACAGGAUAAAACAACAACGCUCAAUCACACUGAUGGAGGGGACGUGGGCUUCGCUGCAGAUGGAGGCCCAAGAUGGUUCAUCAGAGGAACCGGAUGCCAGAGGCUCAGCUUUCAAGCCCGGCAAUGACAAAUAAACCUCACGGUGGAGGAACAAAUGCAUUCACAAUGGGCUCCAGAGGAAAUAGAGAGGGGACGGAGGGCAGCCACCUGCAACAUCACAAAAGAUUUGACUAUCUGGGUUGGCCGUGGGAGCCACCGAGGCUGAGCUGGACACAAAAGGUCCGUCUGCUGUGAUGUUGCCAUCUGGUGGCAGUUCUUUUUUAAUGCGUGACAGCAGUCUGAUUUAAGGUCAGCGUUUUUGUAUUGUAGCACAAUAAGACAUAUUUCAUUUCCUGCGAGCCACAUCACAACACAAAAGGCCCCACAUUUCGAUACUGAAGCCCGGACAACGUGUGCCCUCCUGCAUACACCCUGGCACACGCGAUGCAACAUGAUUCCAGCAAGUUACGCCGUUUUCUGGCACGGAGCGAUUUGGGCAGUCAGUCACAGAACGUUAUUAGGACGCAGCAUCAAGUGAUUGAGGGAAAACAACAUCAUCGAGUGCCACAAGAUUUGGGGGUGGAAAGAUGGCUAAAGCCAUAUUCUCUGUUCCGCAUCUCUUCGGUUUUUCACAGAGCCUGGUUUAUUCAUCAUUUCCUGAUGCAGGAAGGAAUGAUUUGGAAUAAAGGAACACAUCAGUUCCCUUUUUUUAGGUGGGAGUUAAAACAGCAGAUCGAUAUCACUCUCGUAUAUCUGCAUGCGAAAUGUGAAGCAGCACAAGAAUUUGGCACAUACAAUUUGUCGUUUUUGCACUUGCAUUUUUGACAAAUUAGAUAUGACAUGCAAAUAAGCAUAUUCCCCAAACUACUCCUUCAACUAAAUGAGGUUCUGAAGUUAAAGAGAUCUUCAGAAGGAACUGUAAGUCGUCACUGGGAUAAUGAAAAAAGGGGAAACCGUCUUUUAGAAAUUUAGAAAAAAAACAGAGACGAGCUCAUCCUCCAGCCAGGUCUAAUUUUAUAUUUUUUCAAUCUUUUCUGAUCUAUGAUUCGGGAUUCCCCCCCCCCCCCCCCCAAUUUAUUUCUGCAAUGGUUUCUUUGGACGGAAGAAACUGCCAGUGUUCCAAUUUUGCAAGGGGUAAAAGAAAGAAUACAAAUUGGAGAUGAGUGCUAGACCCAAGCCCAGUUAUUGUAAUUUUUCAAAUUACUAUAGAAACUAAACUUUCUUUGAGACUCGACAUUAAACAGAAGCUGCCAUCUCUUGUUCUGUUCUGCAGAACUUCUCCUUCAUUGGCCCGCUGAGAACAGUGUGAAGCUACUUCCUCUUUGGCUGGCUUUACGGGGACGAAUGCCUGCUCUCUGGAUUUGCAGGGUUGGAAGAGCUGUAUCCCGACACACCUGAGUAAGGACACACAGGAAAAGUUGCCUCUGUGCCAGCAACACUAAGGAGGCUGCAGGAAAAGAGGGUACCUGGGCAAUUUGUGCAAACACGAGUACCAGUGAAUUUUUGGCCUUGGAAUAGCAUUGCUCACAUACACAGACACACACACAUACACACACACACAGCCGCACUUCCACACUACACAACCCUCUGUCUCCCUCCACAGAUUAACCCCAGAUGGCAACAAUGAGAUGAGUAUGAGGGCUUUUGCUGCGUAACUGAAAACACGCGGGCUUGUUAACGCACUCCAAAAACUUGCUCCAUCCAUCCGUCACCGGUCCAGAUGUUCUCUGAAGCCUUUUCCUCUACUCAAGUGGGACCAAUCCCUCUCAAAAUUAAUUCACUUCCCAUUCCACUUGCGUCCACAACAAAGGCCCUCGUGAAAGCUAAUUGGAUAGUUUGCGGUCUUUAUGAUCAAGCGAUCGAGCCGAGGGAGCGUGUUUCAGAGGACAGGGGAUGUUGUUGUUGACGGACGCUCACUUGGGACCGUUUGCAUGCCGUGACCCCACUUAAUCCCGCCAAUGGACCCCAAAGCUUCCCCAUCCUGAGCACUUCAAUACACUCGGAGAAGGACCAUUUCCUUGAAUAAACAUCAGAAUCGGUUCGGUUUUUUUCGCGGAUAAUUUUCCUUUGAAUUCCAGCAGGGUAAUCUGAAGAGUGAGAGGGGCAGCCAAACACUGUAGUGAAGUCUGGCAGCCGACUUGUAUCCAUCAAAUGUUAAAAACCAUAAAACAAGCUGUUUUCCACUAACUCCCAAAGAGAAUAAUCAUCAAUUUCAACAGAUAAGUCUUUGUCAAACUCAGUUUGCCUGCUGUGUUUUAUUGGCAGCAAUAAUAUUUAGAGACUUACCAGAAUUUAUUCACCUGAAACCUUGUUGGGAAAUAAAUACGCACAGCAGGUUUGUUUUCAGUUAAGAUUUAUAGAGCUGCAACAGUUAAUCGAUUAGUAAUCGAUAGUUUUUAUGAAAAGCAAGGAAAGAUUCUCUGAUUUCAGCUGCUUAAAUGUGAAUAUAUUCUUGUUUCUUUGCUCCUUUAUGACA